rnacentral:rRNA from 1 species
GCGACCCCAGGUCAGGCGGGACUACCCGCUGAAUUUAAGCAUAUAAAUAAGCGGAGGAGAAGAAACUUACAAGGAUUCCCCUAGUAACGGCGAGCG